rnacentral:rRNA from 1 species
AGGACGAACGCUGGCGGCGUGCUUAACACAUGCAAGUCGAGCGGAAAGGCCCUUCGGGGUACUCGAGCGGCGAACGGGUGAGUAACACGUGAGUAAUCUGCCCCUAGCUCUGGGAUAGCUCCGGGAAACCGGGAUUAAUACCAGAUACGACCACUUUAGACAUCUUCUGUGGUGGAAAGAACUUCGGCUAGGGAUGAACUCGCGGCCUAUCAGCUUGUUGGUGAGGUAACGGCUCACCAAGGCGACGACGGGUAGCCGGCCUGAGAGGGCGACCGGCCACACUGGGACUGAGACACGGCCCAGACUCCUACGGGAGGCAGCAGUGGGGAAUAUUGCGCAAUGGGCGAAAGCCUGACGCAGCGACGCCGCGUGGGGAUGAAGGCCUUCGGGUUGUAACCCCUUUCAGCAGGACGAAGCGAAAGUGACGGUACCUGCAGAAGAAGCGCCGGCUAACUACGUGCCAGCAGCCGC